AAAUGUACUAUUUCUGAGACUUAAAAUCUUUUUAUUUUUCGUGGUCAUACAUCUCGAUGUAUGAGAUGAUCAAUCAAAGGGUUUUUCAACAUUAAAACUACCUUUUCUGAUGGAUUUUUGAGGUGCAUCCAUGACUCUACAUAUAAGGUUGCAACCUUAUAUAAACUUUAUCCAAAUCUUAAAGCAUCAUAAACAAUCGGAGAUUCACUAACAUAAUUGUCAAAAAUUUGAACAAAUACAAAGAACUUUAUUCAUACACAAACUCAAUUAGAUAGAAUUUGUUUUAUACACAAACUCAAUUAGAUACAGCCAAAUGCCUGUAAUCUUC
rnacentral:lncRNA from 1 species